AUAGCUCAUUUUUGUAUGCAAUGGGAUCGUUUGCCUACGUUUGCCGCUAGGGGCGCUGUUCCAACUGCAUACAAAAUUGAGUUA
rnacentral:pre_miRNA from 1 species